rnacentral:sRNA from 1 species
UUGCUGAAAAAAAGGAAAACAACGACCAGUUACUCACCAGGACCACCUCUUUUGCCAGCUCAUCCUCCCUUGAGCUGGCACUUUA